UACGUAGGGGGCAAGCGUUGUCCGGAAUCAUUGGGCGUAAAGAGCGUGUAGGCGGCCCGAUAAGUCCGCUGUGAAAGUCCAGGGCUCAACCCUUGAAUGCCGGUGGAUACUGCAGGGCUAGAGUCCGGAAGAGGCGAGUGGAAUUCCUGGUGUAGCGGUGAAAUGCGCAGAUAUCAGGAGGAACACCGGUGGCGAAGGCGGCCUUCUGGACAGUGACUGACGCUGAGACGCGAAAGCGUGGGGAGCAAACAGG
rnacentral:rRNA from 1 species